GACGAACGCUGGCGGCGUGCCUAAUACAUGCAAGUCGAACGCACUCUCGUUUAGAUUGAAGGAGCUUGCUCCUGAUUGAUAAACAUUUGAGUGAGUGGCGGACGGGUGAGUAACACGUGGGUAACCUGCCCUAAAGUGGGGGAUAACAUUUGGAAACAGAUGCUAAUACCGCAUAAAACCUAACACCGCAUGGUGUAGGGUUGAAAGAUGGUUUCGGCUAUCACUUUAGGAUGGACCCGCGGUGCAUUAGUUAGUUGGUGAGGUAAAGGCUCACCAAGACCGUGAUGCAUAGCCGACCUGAGAGGGUAAUCGGCCACACUGGGUCUGAGACACGGCCCAGACUCCUACGGGA
rnacentral:rRNA from 1 species